GACGAACGCUGGCGGCGUGCCUAACACAUGCCAGUCGAGCGAGUGAAUCUCCUUCGGGAGUGAAGCUAGCGGCGGACGGGUGAGUAACACGUGGGCAACCUGCCUCAUAGAGGGGAAUAGCCUUUCGAACGGAAGAUUAAUACCGCACAAGAUUGUAGCUUCGCAUGAAGUAGCAAUUAAAGGAGCAAUCCGCUAGGAGAUGGGCCCGCGGCGCAUUAGCUAGUUGGUGAGGUAACGGCUCACCAAGGCGACGAUGCGUAGCCGACCUGAGAGGUUGAUCGGCCACAUUGGGACUGAGACACGGCCCAGACUCCUACGGGAGGCAGCAAUGGGGAAUAUUGCACAAUGGGGGAAACCCUGAUGCAGCAACGCCGCGUGAGUGAUGACGGCCUUCGGGUUGUAAAGCUCUGUCUUCAGGGACGAUAAUGACGGUACCUGAGGAGGAAGCCACGGCUAACUACGUGCCAGCAGCCGCGGUAAAAC
rnacentral:rRNA from 1 species